AACAGAAACAGAAACAGAAAUGCAUCCUCAAGUCCUGGAUUUGAAAAUCUUCUGAAACGACAAGAUGUCCACCGCAUUAUGUUUACAUUAUACCCAGCUAUCAUCAGGAUAAACAACCUAAUAGAAGAAUUCAUCAAUGCCAAAGAGAAAGAGAAAGAGAAAGAAAAGGAGAAAAAGAAUGCCAAAGAGAAAAGGAGAAAAAGAAUGCCAAAGGGAAAGAGGAAGAGAAAAAUUAUGCCAAAGAGAAAGAGGAAAUGAAAAAGGUCAUCAAUGAUCUCGAAAGGAAAUGCCUCAGGGCCAUAACUGAUCCGUCCGCUGAACUGGUGAAGGGAAUUGUUGUGAACACCGAGCAGAAAGGGUAUCUCGCAAUGCUGUCUGGAAAAAUAGACGGGACCAAACAAAGCCCAGAGGAUUCUGAAGACAAGGGUUUCAACAAGCAACUGACUUGGAAGCAAAUGCAAGAAGUUCU